CAAGUCGAACGAGAAAGCCGGAGCAAUCUGGUGAGUAAAGUGGCGUACGGGUGAGUAACACGUGGAUCAUCUACCUUUUAGUGUGGAAUAACCAAGGGAAACCGUGGCUAAUACCGCAUAAGCUCGAGAGAGGAAAGCAGCAAUGCGCUGAAAGAGGAGUCCGCGGCCGAUUAGCUAGUUGGCAGGGUAAAAGCCUACCAAGGCAAAGAUCGGUAGCCGGCCUGAGAGGGCACACGGCCACACUGGCACUGAAACACGGGCCAGACUCCUACGGGAGGCAGCAGUGGGGAAUCUUGCACAAUGGGGGAAACCCUGAUGCAGCGACGCCGCGUGAGCGAUGAAGCCCUUCGGGGUGUAAAGCUCUUUCGUCAGGGAAGAUUAUGACGGUACCUGGAGAAGCAGCUGCGGCUAACUACGUGCCAGCAGCCGCGGUAAUACGUAGGCAGCGAGCGUUGUUCGGAGUUACUGGGCGUAAAGGGUGUGUAGGCGGUUGUUUAAGUUCGGUGUGAAAUCUCCCGGCUCAACUGGGAGGGUGCGCCGAAUACUGAAUGACUUCGAGUGCGGGAGAGGAAAGUGGAAUUCCUGGUGUAGCGGUGAAAUGCGUAGAUAUCAGGAGGAACACCGGUGGUGUAGACGGCUUUCUGGACCGUAACUGACGCUGAGACACGAAAGCGUGGGUAGCAAACAGGAUUAGAUACCCUGGUAGUCCACGCCCUAAACGAUGCAUAUUUGGUGUGGGCAGUUCAUUCUGUCCGUGCCGGAGCUAACGCGUUAAAUAUGCCGCCUGGGGAGUACAGUCGCAAGGCUGAAACUCAAAGGAAUUGACGGGGGCCC
rnacentral:rRNA from 1 species